GUACAAAAUGACUCUCGACAACGGAUAUCUCGGCUGUUGCAUCGAUGAAGAACGUAGCGAAAUGCGAUACUUGGUGUGAAUUGCAGAAUCCCGUGAACCAUCGAGUCUUUGAACGCAAGUUGCGCCCGAGGCCCUUGGGCUGAGGGCACGCCUGCCUGGGUGUCACCAA
rnacentral:rRNA from 1 species